rnacentral:tRNA from 1 species
ACCUAAGUAUUUUAAUUUAAAAUGUUGUUUUGUGGAAUCAAAGAUAUGAAUUUUUUCAUCUUGGGUC